AGUGGGGAAUAUUGCACAAUGAGGGAAACCUUGAUGCAGCCAUGCCGCGUGUGUGAAGAAGGCCCGAGGGUUGUAAAGCACUUUCAAUUGUGAGGAAGAUUAAGUAGCUAAUAUCUGCUUAAUUUGACGUUAACUUUAGAAGAAGCACCGGCUAACUCUGUGCCAGCAGCCGCGGUAAUACAGAGGGUGCAAGCGUUAUUCGGAAUUACUGGGCGUAAAGCGCGCGUAGGCGGACUGUUAAGUCGGUUGUGAAAGCCCUGGGCUCAACCUAGGAACUGCAUCCGAUACUGGCAAUCUAGAGUUUAAGAGAGGGAAGUGGAAUUCCGGGUGUAGCAGUGAAAUGCGUAGAUAUCUGGAGGAACAUCAGUGGCGAAGGCGACUUCCUGGCUUAAAACUGACGCUGAGGUGCGAAAGCUUGGGUAGCGAACGGGAUUAGAUACCCCGGUAGUCCAAGCCGUAAACGAUGUCAACUAGCUGUUGGUCUUAUUAAAAAGAUUAGUAGCGUAGCUAACGCGAUAAGUUGACCGCCUGGGGAGUACGGUCGCAAGAUUAAAACUCAAAGGAAUUGACGGGGGCCCGCACAAGCGGUGGAGCAUGUGGUUUAAUUCGAUGCAACGCGAAGAACCUUACCAUCCCUUGACAUCCUGCGAACUUUCUAGAGAUAGAUUGGUGCCUUCGGGAACGCAGUGACAGGUGCUGCAUGGCUGUCGUCAGCUCGUGUCGUGAGAUGUUGGGUUAAGUCCCGCAACGAGCGCAACCCUUAUCAUUAGUUGCUAACAUUUAGUUGAGAACUCUAAUGAGACUGCCGGUGAUAAACCGGAGGAAGGCGGGGACGACGUCAAGUCAUCAUGGCCCUUAUGGGAUGGGCUACACACGUGCUACAAUGGGGGGUACAAAGAGCAGCCAACUGGCGACAGUGCGCGAAUCUCAUAAAACCUCUCGUAGUCCGGAUCGGAGUCUGCAACUCGACUCCGUGAAGUCGGAAUCGCUAGUAAUCGUGAAUCAGAAUGUCACGGUGAAUACGU
rnacentral:rRNA from 1 species